UACGUAGGGGCAAGCGUUGUCCGGAUUUAUUGGGCGUAAAGAGCGUGUAGGCGGCCGCACAGGUCCGUUGUGAAAACUGGAGGCUUAACCUUCAGACGUCGAUGGAAACCGUGCGGCUAGAGUCCGGAAGAGGAGAAUGGAAUUCCUGGUGUAGCGGUGAAAUGCGCAGAUAUCAGGAAGAACACCCGUGGCUAAGGCGGUUCUCUAGUACGGUACUGACGCUGAGACGCGAAAGCGUGGGGAGCGAAACAGG
rnacentral:rRNA from 1 species